rnacentral:rRNA from 1 species
AACGAACGCUGGCGGCAUGCCUAACACAUGCAAGUCGAACGAGACCUUCGGGUCUAGUGGCGCACGGGUGCGUAACGCGUGGGAACCUGCCUUUAGGUUCGGAAUAACUCAGAGAAAUUUGAGCUAAUACCGGAUAAUGUCUUCGGACCAAAGAUUUAUCGCCUUUAGAUGGGCCCGCGUUGGAUUAGCUAGUUGGUGGGUAAAGCCUACCAAGGCGACGAUCCAUAGCUGGUCUGAGAGGAUGAUCAGCCACACUGGGACUGAGACACGGCCCAGACUCCUACGGGAGGCAGCAGUGGGGAAUAUUGGACAAUGGGCGAAAGCCUGAUCCAGCAAUGCCGCGUGAGUGAUGAAGGCCUUAGGGUUGUAAAGACGUCUUUACCCGUAGAUGAUAAUGAC